rnacentral:ncRNA from 1 species
GCACGAGCGUCAAGUUGUGCUUUGCGCUCUUUAAAUCGGAUGAAUUGCUGGAAACCCCAAGUGGGCAAUCAGCAGCCAAGUCUCAGAUACAUCUGAGAAAGGUUCAGAGACUACCUGAGGGAUAUAGUUCCCUUAAUAACAGGAAUAAGCGUCCGACACCAGAAAUGGUGAUGAUAUAGUCCAAUCCUGGUAGUAAUACCAGA